GCAGGAGCAGGAGCAGGACUACAGCGAGAUAUAGUAGAGGAGCCAGGAGAGGAGCUAUCACAAGGAUGGCCGGGCCGCAAGUCCAGCACAGUCAGCGACCGAACAGCGCCUACUACACGGGCCUCAAUGGCAGUGGAACUAGUGGCGCCUCCGCCUCCGCUUCCGCCAGUGGCAUGGCCACCAGUGCCUCCCACACCGGACUCCAUGCCCUGCGGCAGGUGAGCAACGAAACGGAGCUCAUCUAUCGGGGAAGUCACAGCAAUGGAACGGUCAACGAGCUGCCCUCCACCGCCCACCACCUGCUCACAGGACGACUGCCCCAACAGAAGCCGCAACAGCAGCAGACGCAGCAGCUGCCACCGAGGCAACAAGUGAGCAGUAUAGCCGGCACCGGAUCGAGUGCCACAGAUGCCCUGAUCAAUACCAUUACCUCCGGAGGAGGAGGAGGAGGUGGCACUGGAGGAGGUGGCACUCCGUCGGGGGCAGGCACUAGCAGCACCGCUCUGGGCCUCAAAAAAUCAAACACACAGCGCAGCAUCGAAAUCAUUGUGGAUGCCAGCCAGUGCGGCAAGGAGCUGGCCACCACCACCAACAAUGCCGGGGGCAGUGCCACCGCCCUGGAUGCCGGUGACGAUGUGGAACAGGGCGGUGGGGGGCAGGAGUCCUCCUCCUCGCAUAGGAAGUCCUCGAGGCAUCGCCAUCGACCCCUGCACCGCCGACUCAUCAGCUACCUGAGGAAUCUCUUCCAGGGCAGCACCACCCAGAAUGAUUCAGAACUAGAGGAGUUUGAAACACCGGCCAGGUACAGGCCCGACUCGCUAAGCGCCCUCAGUCGAGCCACCCGAUUCACCGAGGACGAGAUCAAACGAAUUUAUAGAGGAUUCAAGGCCGAGUGCCCAACUGGCGUCGUCAAGGAGGACACCUUCAAAGUGAUCUACUCACAGUUCUUCCCACAGGGAGCCAAUCCAACCCUAUACGCACACUAUGUAUUUAAUACACUGGAUCAGGAUCACAGCGGCAUUGUCAGCUUCGAGGACUUUGUCCAAGGACUCUCGAUACUUUCGCGCGGCUCGGUGGAGGAGAAGCUGCGCUGGACCUUCUCGCUGUACGACAUCAACGGCGAUGGCUUCAUUACGAGGGAGGAAAUGACUGACAUUGUGACUGCCAUAUACGAGCUGAUGGGCCGCCUGCCGGACGAGUGUCCCGAGGAGGAGAAGAUCAAGGGCAAGGUGGAGCAGAUCUUUCAGAAAAUGGACAUCAAUCGGGAUGGAGUGGUGACCCUGGAGGAGUUCCUGGAGGCAUGUCGCAACGAUGACGCCAUUUCCGGGUCGAUGUCAGUGUUCGACACAGCGUUCUGACCAUAUCCGACCGACAAGGGCGACGAGUACACGGUGCGCCGUCGACGACGCAGUGGCAGUCGCUCCCAGAAUCCUCGACAGGAUCAGCAGUUCAAGGAUCCGGAAAAACAGCUUGUUUACCUGAGGAGUAGCAUGGUUGCUAUUAUAAGACACUAGCGAGUCACUAGAGCUGAAGAGGCCCAUAGAAUACUAAUCUCUUACUUACAAUAUGGAGUAAAAUCAUAUGUGAAGCAGCUCCAGAGAAUUUGAAAAACGAGGGGAAGUCGGAUUUAUAUAGAAACAGGGCCAACAUUUUGCGGCAGAAUACAACAGACUAUUAAAUCACGAAAGGUCCUAUCAUUGGUCAUGUUGUAGCUGUCUUCAGCUCCAAAAAAGAUGCAAAACCUGUUCUUUCGAGAUAUGAGCAUUAGCAGACAAUGAUGCAAGUUGUUUUAAGACCAUGAUGAAAAAAUUCUCCGCUUGGAUAACAUAUAUUAUAUGUUAUUCUCAUCAUUUAUA
rnacentral:misc_RNA from 1 species